UAUCACAGCUAUUUUGAUCAUU
rnacentral:miRNA from 1 species